rnacentral:rRNA from 1 species
AUUGAACGCUGGCGGCAUGCCUUACACAUGCAAGUCGAACGGCAGCACGGGAGCAAUCCUGGUGGCGAGUGGCGAACGGGUGAGUAAUAUAUCGGAACGUGCCCAGUCGUGGGGGAUAACGCAGCGAAAGCUGUGCUAAUACCGCAUGAGAUCUAUGGAUGAAAGCGGGGGGUCGCAAGACCUCGCGCGAUUGGAGCGGCCGAUAUCAGAUUAGGUAGUUGGUGGGGUAAAGGCUCACCAAGCCGACGAUCUGUAGCUGGUCUGAGAGGACGACCAGCCACACUGGAACUGAGACACGGUCCAGACUCCUACGGGAGGCAGAAGUGGGGAAUUUUGGACAAUGGGCGCAAGCCUGAUCCAGCAAUGCCGCGUGCAGGAUGAAGGCCUUCGGGUUGUAAACUGCUUUUGUACGGAACGAAAAGGCUCUGGUUAAUACCUGGGGCACAUGACGGUACCGUAAGAAUAAGCACCGGCUAACUACGUGCCAGCCGCCGCGGUAAUAC